rnacentral:rRNA from 1 species
UACAGAGGGUGCGAGCGUUGUUCGGAAUGACUGGGCGUAAAGCGCACGUAGGCGGGUUUUUAAGUCAGAUGUGAAAGCCCUGGGCUUAACCUAGGAACAGCAUUUGAAACUGGAGAUCUUGAAUAUCUGAGAGGCCAGUGGAAUUCCAGGUGUAGGAGUGAAAUCCGUAGAUAUCUGGAGGAACACCAGAGGCGAAGGCGGCUGGCUGGCGGUAUAUUGACGCUGAGGUGCGAAAGCGUGGGGAGCAAACAGG